CACGUAUCCAACCUGCCGCUUACUCGGGGAUAGCCUUUCGAAAGAAAGAUUAAUACCCGAUGGUAUAAAGAGUUCGCAUGUUCUCUUUAUUAAAGAAUUUCGGUAAGCGAUGGGGAUGCGUUCCACUAGAUAGUUGGCGGGGUAACGGCCCACCAAGUCUACGAUGGAUAGGGGUUCUGAGAGGAAGGUCCCCCACAUUGGAACUGAGACACGGUCCAAACUCCUACGGGAGGCAGCAGUGAGGAAUAUUGGUCAAUGGACGAGAGUCUGAACCAGCCAAGUAGCCGUGAAGGAUGACUGCCCUAUGGGUUGUAAACUUCUUUUAUAAGGGAAUAAAGUGAGGGACGUGUCCCUUUUUGUAUGUACCUUAUGAAUAAGGAUCGGCUAACUCCGUGCCAGCCGCAGC
rnacentral:rRNA from 1 species